UCCCGCUUAGCUCAGUGGUAGAGCGCAUCACUAGUAAUGAUGAGGUCAGUCGUUCAAGUCGGCUAGUGGGAA
rnacentral:tRNA from 1 species